GGGGCCUUUUAGGUUUUCUAAUCGGAAUGAGAAGAAUUUAAACCUCUCACCGAGGAUCCAUUGGAGGGCAAGUCUGGUGCCAGCAGCCGCGGUAAUUCCAGCUCCAAUAGCGUAUAUUAAAGUUGUUGCAGUUAAAACGCUCGUAGUCGGAUAUCGGGGCGCGGACACAGAAGCGGCUCCGGUUGCAGCUGUGAACGGUCUGCCCCUAAUUCUGGGACGCGGUGUGCGGGACUUUACUGUCUCUGCGCACCUGCGGGCCGGACGUUUACUGUGAAGAAAUUAGGGUGUUCAAAGCAUGCGUUCGCUAUGGAUACGUGAGCAUGGAAUAAUAGAAUAGGACUUGGGCUCUAUUUUGUUGGUUUCCGGGGACCAAGUAAUGAUUAAUAGGGAUAGUUGGGGGCAUUCGCAUUUCAUUGUCAGAGGUUGAAAUUCUUGGAUUGAUGGAAGACGGACUACUGCGAAAGCAUCUGCCAAGGAUGUUUUCUUUGAUCAAGAACGAAAGUUAGGGGAUCGAAGACGAUCAGAUACCGUCGUAGUCUUAACCAUAAACUAUGCCGACUGGAGAUUGGCGGGGAUUUGUUGUAUG
rnacentral:rRNA from 1 species